CUAUGCGCCUUGCCAGCCCGCUCAGGUGUGCCAGCGCCGCGGUAAUACGUAGGGAGCAAGCGUUGUCCGGAAUUACUGGGCGUAAAGGGCGCGUAGGUGGGCGCUUAAGUCAGGUGUGAAAACUCCGGGCUCAACCUGGAGACUGCACUUGAAACUGGGUGUCUUGAGGGCAGGAGAGGAAAGUGGAAUUCCUAGUGUAGCGGUGAAAUGCGUAGAUAUUAGGAAGAACACCAGUGGCGAAGGCGGAUUACUGGACGACAACUGACGGUGAGGCGCGAAAGCGUGGGGAGCAAACAGG
rnacentral:rRNA from 1 species